GGUUGUGUAGUGUAGCGGUUAUCACUCCGGAUUCUGAUACUGCUCAGAAUCAUCUAUUUCCGGCAACCCCGGUUCGAUUCCGGGCACGACCU